UAGCUUAUGAAAUGACCAUUUAUACCUUAAGUAGAUAUAAACUUCAUGUUCUCCUAUAAGAAGCACUUAACUAAUGUGUACAUGAUUUGAUUAUUAUUUCUAUCAACUAUUGAGCUUACUAGUGUUUAAUUACAACUUAUAUGAGCUAUGACCCAUUAUUGCAGGAGUGAGGCCCAUGAGUAAACUAAGUAAAGGAAAAGAAAGGGGAAAGCUUAUGUGAGGAUCCGAAAAGAAGCAGGUGGUCAUAGGGGAAUAUCCAUUGAGCUGUUAUGCGUGAGAAGGAAGAAUGUCUGUUACUUAUGAAGGAGGAGAGGGGAUCCGUGGCAAGGAGAGAGAAAAUGGGGAAAAGAUUCGGGUAUAAGAGGAAAAGAAGAUUCAAACCAUGGGGGGAUUCAAUUUUAUUCUGCUGGAAUUUUUCCUAGUGCUUUACGGAAGACAUUUUUCGUAUUCUUCAUAGGGUAUAUACAGUGAAGGUUGAACAUGCAAAGGACACUAGAAGUUCAAAGGCCUGCUUUCCACCUAGAGAUUGAUGUUGAUCUGAUAAUGCAUCUUUUAUGGAGCUAUGUCACUGUAAUCUGUUUCUAUAAAAUGUAGGGUAUGGAACUGUAAUCGUUUUUUGUAUCUAAACUUGGUAUUUUGAUGUUUGUAGUGCUUUGGUUAUGGAUUAAGAUAAUUAUUUUGCUUUUAAGGAUAGAGGGAUGUGAAUGCCUUGAAGAAUUAUGGCUUAAAGAUGAGUUCCACGAUAAGAAGAAAGAACUGUAGAUUGUUCAAAGCCGAAUUUCCAGUUAAUGAAUGUAGUUUUGAAUGUUGAAUGUA